UACGGAGGGCGCGAGCGUUAAUCGGAAUUACUGGGCGUAAAGCGCGCGUAGGCUGUUGUGUAAGUUGGGGGUGAAAUCCCACGGCUCAACCGUGGAACAGCCCUUGAUACUGCGCGACUUGAAUCCGGGAGAGGGUGGCGGAAUUCCAGGUGUAGGAGUGAAAUCCGUAGAUAUCUGGAGGAACAUCAGUGGCGAAGGCGGCCACCUGGACCGGUAUUGACGCUGAGGCGCGAAAGCGUGGGGAUCAAACAGG
rnacentral:rRNA from 1 species